UACGUAGGGUGCAAGCGUUGUCCGGAAUUAUUGGGCGUAAAGAGCUCGUAGGCGGUCUGUUACGUCGGCUGUGAAAACCUGGGGCUCAACCUCGGGCCUGCAGCCGAUACGGGCAGACUAGAAUUCGGUAGGGGAGACUGGAAUUCCUGGUGUAGCGGUGAAAUGCGCAGAUAUCAGGAGGAACACCGGUGGCGAAGGCGGGUCUCUGGGCCGAUAUUGACGCUGAGGAGCGAAAGCGUGGGGAGCGAACAGG
rnacentral:rRNA from 1 species